AGAGUUUGAUCCUGGCUCAGAACGUACGCUGGCGGCACGCCUAACACAUGCAAGUCGAACGAAGUAGCAAUACUUAGUGGCAGACGGGUGAGUAACAUGUAGGUAUCUGCCCUUUGGCCUGGAAUAACACGAGGAAACUUGUGCUAAUACCGGAUAAGUCUUUACGGAGAAAGCUUUAUGCACCAAUGGAUGAGCCUGCAUUUGAUUAGUUUGUUGGUGGGGUAAUGGCCUACCAAGACUGUGAUCAAUAGCUGAUUUGAGAGGAUGAUCAGCCACAUUGGGACUGAGACACGGCCCAAACUCCUACGGGAGGCAGCAGUGGGGAAUCUUGCACAAUGGAGGAAACUCUGAUGCAGCGAUGCCGCGUGAGUGAAGAAGGCCUUUGGGUUGUAAAGCUCUUUCGUCGGGGAAGAAAAUGACUGUACCCGAAUAAGAAGGUCCGGCUAACUUCGUGCCAGCAGCCGCGGUAAUACGAAGGGACCUAGCGUAGUUCGGAAUUACUGGGCUUAAAGAGUUCGUAGGUGGUUGAAAAAGUUGGUGGUGAAAUCCCAGAGCUUAACUCUGGAACUGCCAUCAAAACUUUUCAGCUAGAGUUUGAUAGAGGAAAGCAGAAUUUCUAGUGUAGAGGUGAAAUUCGUAGAUAUUAGAAAGAAUACCAAUUGCGAAGGCAGCUUUCUGGAUCAUUACUGACACUGAGGAACGAAAGCAUGGGUAGCGAAGAGGAUUAGAUACCCUCGUAGUCCAUGCCGUAAACGAUGUGUGUUAGACGUUGGAAAUUUAUUUUCAGUGUCGCAGCGAAAGCGAUAAACACACCGCCUGGGGAGUACGACCGCAAGGUUAAAACUCAAAUGAAUUGACGGGGACCCGCACAAGUAGUGGAGCAUGUGGUUUAAUUCGAAGAUACGCGCAGAACCUUACCAACACUUGACAUGUUCGUCGCGACUUUAAGAGAUUAAAGUUUUCGGUUCGGCCGGACGAAACACAGGUGCUGCAUGGCUGUCGUCAGCUCGUGUCGUGAGAUGUUGGGUUAAGUCCCGCAACGAGCGCAACCCUCACUUUUAGUUGCCAUCAUUAAGUUGGGCACUCUGAAAGAACUGCCAGUGAUAAGCUGGAGGAAGGUGGGGAUGACGUCAAGUCCUCAUGGCCCUUACGUGUUGGGCUACACACGUGCUACAAUGGUAUCUACAACAGGAAGCAAGACUGCGAGGUCAAGCAAAUCCUCAAAAGAUACCUCAGUUCGGAUUGCACUCUGCAACUCGAGUGCAUGAAGCUGGAAUUACUAGUAAUCGUGGAUCAGCGUGCCACGGUGAAUGCGCUCCCGGGUCUUGUACACACCGCCCGU
rnacentral:rRNA from 1 species